GGAAAGGUGGCUGAGAAUAGGCAGUAGAUUGUAAAUCUACCUACAGGUACCCCCUUCUUUCCA
rnacentral:tRNA from 1 species